CCUACGGGAGGCAGCAGUGGGGAAUAUUGCACAAUGGGGGAAACCCUGAUGCAGCGACGCCGCGUGAGUGAAGAAGUAUUUCGGUAUGUAAAGCUCUAUCAGCAGGGAAGAAAAUGACGGUACCUGAGUAAGAAGCCCCGGCUAACUACGUGCCAGCAGCCGCGGUAAUACGUAGGGGGCAAGCGUUAUCAGGAUUUACUGGGUGUAAAGGGAGCGCAGACGGCAGCACAAGUCUGGAGUGAAAUGCCGGGGCUUAACCCCGGGACUGCUUUGGAAACUGUGCGGCUGGAGUGCAGGAGAGGUAAGUGGAAUUCCUAGUGUAGCGGUGAAAUGCGUAGAUAUUAGGAGGAACACCAGUGGCGAAGGCGGCUUACUGGACUGUAACUGACGUUGAGGCUCGAAAGCGUGGGGAGCAAACAGGAUUAGAUACCCGAGUAGUC
rnacentral:rRNA from 1 species